UAGCGCUGCCGCAGGUCUCGGGGCUGGUAGUAGCGCUGCCUGCAAACCAGCACCAAGGCUGCAAACGAAGCCAGAAAGAUGGUGGCCAGCACACCUAUGGCAACUAUCACCACGGUCUCCAUGCUUCCGGGGAGCUCCUGACUCAGUCCCGUUCACAUCGUCCUCAUGGGCUAAGGCUGCUGGAAGUGGCAAACUGGGGGAAGAGGAUGGCAGGAGCUAGGUUCCUCCACGACACCUCCAGAGACCUGAGGGCCUCAAGCUGCAGCUCCGGGGCACAUCCCGCUGCGCUCCCACGACGGCCCCGCGGAUGGCAAAGUCAGCGAAUUGACCACAAGAGAAGACUCCCUUUCAAACUCUUCAUUCUCUGGUUCAGAGGUUUGAUGUAAUGGUUGUCUCAUCGUACAUGGUCAGCCACAGGAUAUACUUCAUCCAUUUCAGAGCUGUACUCCUGAGUUCCAUGCUAUAAUCAGAAAUAUGUGGCACAUUUUGAACAAAGGAAAUAUAUACCCAACAAAGUGUUAAAAUGGAGCUGCCAACCAGACAAACCCUAGAAAUAUGUAGCCACUUACAGGCAGAACACAACUACAUGUGUUCCCAAUGUGGAAGGCAUUCCGGAAGUGUAUGCAUCCACAUUUCUACAUGAGGCAUCGCCUAUGCAGGCAAUCAAAGGAUGUUGAUGGAUAAGUGUUUCAGGCAGAAUAAUGGCCCUCAAAGAUGUUGACACCAGAAUCUUCAGAACCUUUGCAUAUGUUACCUAACAUGACAAAAGGGACUUUGCUGAUGUGAUUAAGGUUAAGAACUUUGAGAAGGGAAGAUUAUCCUGGAUUAUACAGGUCGACGUUUAUUUCUUUCUGAACUUUCCUGGAGGAUCAUCGGCCAUACUCCAGCAGAAGGGUGGAUUUGAAAAAAUAACGUUUCCACGGCAACAGUGGCAGCAAUUCAAAGGAAGACGUUGGAGAAUUCACAUGCUAUUUUAGCUGGCUCUGUGAUUGCAAUCACACAAAUCAUUACAUUCCAGCGAGAUCCCAUCAACAGAAGGUUUUUCCAUUUCAGUCUGUCAAGUUUUUCAGGCAUGAAUACUGUAAGCAAGAAGAGAAAAGUUACAAUAAAUUGACAUUUAUAGUUGAAGUUGACCUCUAACCUGUGAAGCUUUCUUGAACAUUCCCUCACUGAAAACUCCUUUUCAUUACUUUUCCUGUAUUGUAUCUCUACAUGCUCAUGAGCAGUUUAAAUCAUUGGCAGAUCUGGAUAGUAUCUGCUAAAAACAUGUUGGCACCUAGAUUCCACUGUUACUAACUAAACAUGAAGCUAAAAAUAAAUGAGAGAUGCUAGAGAUUUGAGUAA
ensembl:lncRNA LINC01500 long intergenic non-protein coding RNA 1500